rnacentral:pre_miRNA from 1 species
UCUUGCGAAUGAGCAACAAAAGUGACUUCUUAAAAUGGAAUCUACUCUUGGUGAAGAUGCUAUGAA